rnacentral:rRNA from 1 species
AUUGAACGCUGGCGGCAUGCCUUACACAUGCAAGUCGGACGGCAGCACGGGUGCUUGCACCUGGUGGCGAGUGGCGAACGGGUGAGUAAUAUAUCGGAACGUACCUUAUUGUGGGGGAUAACGCAGCGAAAGCUGUGCUAAUACCGCAUAAUCCCUAAGGGGGAAAGCGGGGGACCGUAAGGCCUCGCGCAAUUAGAGCGGCCGAUACCGGAUUAGCUAGUUGGGGAGGUAAAGGCUCACCAAGGCAACGAUCAGUAGCUGGCCUGAGAGGACGAUCAGCCACACUGGGACUGAGACACGGCCCAGACUCCUACGGGAGGCAGCAGUGGGGAAUUUUGGACAAUGGGGGCAACCCUGAUCCAGCAAUGCCGCGUGAGUGAAGAAGGCCUUCGGGUUGUAAAGCUCUUUUGUCAGGGAAGAAACAGCAGCCCUAACACAGUUUGCGAAUGACGGUACCUGAAGAAUAAGCACCGGCUAACUACGUGCCAGCAGCCGCUGUAA